rnacentral:tRNA from 1 species
AGUAAUAUGCCUGAUUUAAAGGGCUGUUUUGAUGGAACAUUCAUAGCUGAUUAUGCUUAUUACUA